rnacentral:rRNA from 1 species
UACGGAGGUCGCUAGCGUUCUCCGGAAUCACUGGGGUUAAAGGGUGCGUAGGCGGCUCUGUAAGUCCGGGGUGAAAAGCUACAGCUCAACUGUGGAAUUGCCUUUGAUACUGCGGUGCUAGAGUGAGAUUGAGGGAAGUGGAAUGUGGCAUGUAGCGGUGAAAUGCAUAGAUAUGCCAUAGAACACCAAUUGCGAAGGCAGCUUGCUAGACCUGGAUUGACGCUGAGGCACGAAAGCGUGGGGAGCGAACAGG